GACGAACGCUGGCGGCGCGCCUAACACAUGCAAGUCGAGCGAUGAAAUUUUAACCGAUCUCUUCGGAGAGAAGAUAAAAUGGAUUAGCGGCGGACGGGUGAGUAACACGUGAGAAACCUGCCUUUCACAAGGGGAUAGCCUCGGGAAACCGGGAUUAAUACCCUAUGACACAUUUCCUUCGCAUGGAAGAAAUGUUAAAACUCCGGUGGUGAAAGAUGGUCUCGCGCCUGAUUAGCUAGUUGGUGGGGUAACGGCCCACCAAGGCCAUGAUCAGUAACCGGCCUGAGAGGGUGAACGGUCACAUUGGAACUGAGACACAGUCCAAACUCCUACGGGAGGCAGCAGUGGGGAAUAUUGCACAAUGGAGGAAACUCUGAUGCAGCGACGCCGCGUGAGCGAUGAAGGCUUUCGAGUCGUAAAGCUCUGUCCUAUGGGAAGAUAAUGACGGUACCAUAGGAGGAAGCCCCGGCUAACUACGUG
rnacentral:rRNA from 1 species